CACUAAGAAGCUUAUACAGCAUCAGCCUUUUAAGUUGAAGAAGAAGACCAUUUCCUUAGUGA
rnacentral:tRNA from 1 species